rnacentral:lncRNA from 1 species
GUGUGUGUGUGCGUAUGAAAAUUCACUGACUCAAGACUUCUGCCUUCUCCUCAGAAGGCCUUGAUGGCUGAAAAGAAGAGGGAUUUGAAAUAAAAGAAAGACCAGCCUAUGAGGAGCACAAGGCUUUAUCCCGUAGGUUUUACGUCUCAAGGAGCAAGAGUGAGCACGGAGCAAUGUUUCGGUACCGACUAGAGAGAGAAGCACUGCAGGCCCCAAGGAAGGCAGCAGGCGGCAGUGAGGAACAGAGAUUUAAUGAAAGAAUCACCUUCAGUGUGGACUACGUACAACGUCUCAGAGACACCGCCAUACUUCAGUCAGCCCAAGAAUAUUGCACAACAGAUUUUGAUUUGGCUGUUUCUGCCAAAAGUUUAAAAAUUUGCAUUCAAUGUAAAAGAUCGAAUGACAAUGGAAUAGCUAACUAUUACUUGAUAUUUCUAUAUUAUUUCCAUGUUGUAGCCUUAACAGAAACUUAGUAUUAAAAAUGUGAAAAGCACUUUGAGUUCUUUCCCUCUUGAUUUUCCUAUGAAAUUAUUUUGGAAGAUUGCCAAGCACGUGUUCAACACAUGUUUUAUACUGGAAAUGUUUUGCCAUAAUCAACAACUGAUUGAAUAAUCACGAUAAUUUAAGCGUUCUUUUGUUCAUAUGCUUCAAUGUUUUGUUCAUUUGCUUGAAAUAUGUGCUUUGUUUUUAGCUAAAAUCAGAUUCAUAUGUGUUGAAAAAUAAAGAGCCAUGUAUUUC